rnacentral:rRNA from 1 species
UGGUGCCAGCAGCCGCGGUAAUUCCAGCUCCAAUAGCGUAUAUUAAAGUUGUUGCAGUUAAAAAGCUCGUAGUUGAAUUUCGGGGUCAGUAGGUCGGUCGUGCCACUGGUAUGAACUGGUUUUACUGAUUCCUCCCUCUUGAAGAACUGUAAUGCCAUUAAUUUGGUGUUGCAGGGAAUCAGGACUGUUACUUUGAAAAAAUUAGAGUGUUUAAAGCAGGCUUUAGCUUGAAUACAUUAGCAUGGAAUAAUGAAAUAGGACGUUUGAUCCUAUUUUGUUGGUUUCUAGGAUUGACGUAAUGAUUAAUAGGGAUAGUUGGGGGCAUUAGUAUUCAAUUGUCAGAGGUGAAAUUCUUGGAUUUAUUGAAGACUAACUACUGCGAAAGCAUUUGCCAAGGAUGUUUUCAUUAAUCAAGAACGAAAGUUAGGGGAUCGAAGACGAUCAGAUACCGUCGUAGUCUUAACCAUAAACUAUGCCGACUAGGGAUCGGAUGAUGUUAAUUUUUUAAUGACUCAUUCGGCGC